GCUUGCAGUUCGUAAAAGUCGGCGAAAUUCUAAAAGGCUUAUUUUUCCAUCUUUAUCGAUGUCAGCCUCCUCGAGCAAAGGGUCAAUGGAACCUCUUAAGCCCGUGUGCUGCAAAACAAUAGCACAAUACUAAUAAUAGAACACACUAUUAU